rnacentral:snRNA from 1 species
GUGCUGGCUCUGGCGGCAUGUAUACUAAAACUGGAACUAGACAAAGAAGAUUAGCAUGGCCCUGCAAAAGGAUGACAAGUUCUUUGUGAACCAUUCCAAAGGUUU